CUGCCCCACCCCUGCUCAUGGUUUCUCUGUCUCUCAAAAUAAGUAUUUUUUUAAAAAUGGGAAAAGAUAAAUACAAUAGUCCAGUAUCAACCCUGUUUUCUAGAACCAGCUUUAUAAAGUGAUUCAUCCCAUGUGACAUUUAAGUAACAAUCUUAGGCUUGUCUAAGAAUGUACUUAGUGAGUUUUUAGCCUUUUAUAAAAAUCAACCUUACCCUCAUAGGAAGCAGUACAUAGGAACCCAAGAUACUCCAGGAAUUGGAUCAUAGACUAUAUCCUGAGAACAACAGAGUGCAUGGUGUGUAUUUAACUUCUGCCAUGUCCUGGUACUCCACUUGGUUGGAGGGGAGACUGCAUACAUGAGAUGAGAGAACUGAGACACAAAAGAUUAAAUAAUUUGCCAGAACGCCACAAAGUUUGGAAUGGAGAUUUGAACCUGGCCAUCUGGCUCCAAGGACAGUGCCUUCCUUUAAUACUCUGACUAGGUAACUUUUACUUUGUGUAUUUUAAGGUAUAAAAACAAAGAACUUGUUACUUCCAACAAGAAUUUGCAUUUGGGAAAGAACACAUCGAUUAAAAAAAUGGGAGUUCAUAACUAUAACGUGCUCCACCUUCUAAGUAUUCCAUACCUUCCCAUCAAGAAUAGUCUCCCAUGUUGCUCUUUUCUUGCUUAUUGGACAUUCUUCCAUUUCCUGCAUGGCUACUUCAUAUUCCCCAUCUAAAAGCUGUAAGCGCCUGUUAGACAAACACAUACACUUUAAAGUAACCUGUGUAUUACUGUAAGUACACAAAUCUACAUCUUUAGAUUUAUACUAAAAAGCAUUUAUUAAAUUUAUAAACUAGCUUACAUACCCAACAAGCUUUUGAAAUAUACCUACUCUCCACUCCUGACAAAAGCAAUUUUAAUGAUUUGCACUAAUAACUAUUAUUACUAGAGAAUUGUUUCAUUAUUGUAGCUACUCAGAUAUAAAUUUAAACAUUUAAAGUAUAAUACAUGCCUCAAGUCUCAAAACUUGGUAAAUUUUAAACAUUAAGUAUAAAGCAUAAGUGUAAGCUUUAUACUUUUAAAAAAAAUAGGAUAACAACAGUGUUACAAUACUUGCCUUAGGGAACCACUAAGAAUUAUGCCUCUGUUAUUUCUAACUAUUGAAAAUAUUUGAACUAGAAUUCUUCACUUUCAUUCAUUAUGACCAAUAAACUUGAUGAUUAUGACUCUGAUAACUACACGAUCCUGGGGGCACCUGGCACAUAUAGGUGCUCAAUAAACAUUUCAUGAAUGGAUGAAUGAAAUACCAACUGAAACAAAUAAUUAAUGCCCAUAUUCACAGUGUAGUUUUAAUGUGUGUGUACAUGUAUGUGUGUGUAUGUAAGGUUUAUAUAUAUUUUUUUCCAUACCUUAAUCACUGGUAACACUACUACCCUAAACACCAUUCUUCAACCAUGCUCAAUAAUUCAUUGUAUACAGCAACAAUCUGGCUUCUAUUCGUCAGUCUUGGGAAAAUUCUGUUAGAUGAUAAUAGCUAACAUUUAUUGAGUGCUUACUAUGUGCCAGGCACUAUUUUAAAGACUUAACGUUUCAUUUAACCUUCCCAACUCCAUAAAGUAGAUUACUCUGCUUUUCAGAAGAGGAAACUGAGGCACCGAAAGAUUAAGUAGCUUGCCUUAAGAUGACACAGGAAGUAGACAGAGCUAGCAAUUGAACCCAGGUAGUCUAAGUCUGAUCUUAACACCAAAUGAUUUUGAGACUUAACAGUUUUUGUCUUUAUGCUAUGCUCCUUGUAUUUAUUCUUUGACAGUACAUCAGCAAAGCUAUUUAACUUAGUAUUUUACAAAACUAUUUUUAUUUGAAUAGGUAAUACAUUCACAUACUUCUAAACUGAAACGAAGCUUCCCUCAUGCGUUUACAUGGCUACAAAAUAUCCUAUUUUAUAGUUGCACAUUUGAUAGCUACAAUCCAAUUUACUCUCCUACCUGUAAUGCAUGAGGAGGCCCUUUUUUCCCACAGCCUCAUCAACAGUGCUUUAUCAGUUUUUUGAUCUCUGCCAAACUGGUAAGUGAAAAAAUGACAUCUCAGUGUACUUUUAUAUUCAGAUGUCUUAUCUUUUAAAUGUUUAAGAACCACAUAUAUUGUUUUGUAAACAUCUUUAUCCUUUGCUCAUUCUUCUAUUGUGCUGUGAAACAGCCAUACUCUAUAGUAUGAGUUGAAAUUACUUUCCUCUUGUCGUUUUUGACUUAGCU